rnacentral:lncRNA from 1 species
AAUCAACGGCAGCAUCUCACUCUUUAGGUUUACUACUGCUUCUCAAACUGAUUUCCUGGGCUUUAUUCCUCAGGAUUCUAGGUGAAAUGUUGUGGAGGCUGAAGUCCAGAUAGGCUUAGUUUCGUGGUGUAAGUAAGGCCAGCCAGAACUCCAGGUUCUCCUCACUGAACUCCGUCUUCAAGAAGGCACGGAAGGCAGCCACCCCAUCUGUGGAUGCAGAAAGAAAUGGGAGAAAAGACAGACAGGAAGAAGCUUAAGAUCAAAGAUUGCAGAUGAAGGAGACACAAUACCAAUUUGUCAGCAUGCUGACUAGUCAAGCCUGUUGCUCCUCCACACCUAAUGACACACAGCUACUCUAGGAGCAAGCCAUGUUUCGUGUCCAUGGGCCAGCAUGCACUAUCAGGGAGAAAUGUUUAAAUCCCAUAGUGACAAUAGUGGUCAGUUCUGAUUAAACCCUCAGAGUUUACUGCCUUUCCACUAAUGCUAAGUUGGCUAAACCCCCGAGUCUGCGGGUAAACCAAGGUAAUAGGCGCUAUACUUCUAUACCCUAAGCUGAGUCCACACCAGAGAGAAGACUCAGGCAGUCGUAAGACAAACUGGAUGGGAAUGUCUCAGGGCCAAGCCUUUACCACUAUCAGAGAAAUAUCCAACAGAAAUCCAGUCUGUACUACACCCUGCUGCAUGGAUAGUGUUCUCUGUCUCUUUUAGAAAACCUUUGAA